rnacentral:rRNA from 1 species
UACGUAGGGGCUAGCGUUAUCCGGAAUUACUGGGCGUAAAGUGUGCGUAGGUGGUUUCUUAAGUCAGAGGUGAAAGGCUACGGCUCAACCGUAGUAAGCCUUUGAAACUGAGAAACUUGAGUGCAGGAGAGGAGAGUAGAAUUCCUAGUGUAGCGGUGAAAUGCGUAGAUAUUAGGAGGAAUACCAGUUGCGAAGGCGGCUCUCUGGACUGUAACUGACACUGAGGCACGAAACCGUGGGGAGCAAACAGGAUUAGAUACCCUGGUAGUCCCUGA